UGGCGCGGCGUGUCGUUUGGGAUGCCGAGUCGUGCCUGGCAGAGCCUGGUGGAGGUUAGUGUGACUCGGCAGAGCCUGCAGGAGCUCGUUGGAGGCUGAUGGAGCCGGGCUGCACGGCUGAGUGGCGCAGUGAACACCAGAGUCCAGUAUUGUGUCUGAUCCUCAGCUGCUCUUCUGCAACCUCUGGGACCCUCUUUAACUGCCCCAUUGAAUUUCAGGAUCUCACCACUGUGACUCCCAAGAAGGAAAAAAGCAGGACACAAAGCCUUAUGAAAUAAAUGUUUGCUGUGGAAU